UUGAUUGUACCCGCCAGCUGGCUAAUAUCAUAAUUAACAAAGUUGCUACCAUGUCUGAGAAGUUUAAUCGAAAAAAUUGCCGGCAGUGUGAUGCCAUUGUCACAGAGAUCACAAGCGCUGCAGUGUCGACUUUUGUACUGGUGGAGCCGCAGGACUAUGUAGAUGUGCUGGGAAGUCGGUCGCUGGGAUAACUAAAGUGAGAUGUGAUUGCAGACGGCGCGCGACCGGGCUCCGGUAGAACUGGCCAGCGGCAACCUGCCUUCGCUCUGCUCGUCGCCGCCGGAGCAGCCGCGCCGAACUCGGGAGCAGCCGCCUGCACCGAACCCCCACGUGCGGGAACGUCGGCAGGAACGCGGGGAAGCGCGUCAGCGAGGUUUAGCUGGUGGAUCACAUUGUGAAAUCUGCAGCCGUGAAAGGCCCUCCAUUUACUGCACCCUUCAAAACGAAAUAUUAGCAUGGGAGGCUAAGCUGGGUAUUAUGGAGCAGUGAUUUCAACUUCUGGGUCACAUGUAACUCCAGGACAGCACAAGGAGAGCUGUCAAUGAGAAAUGGAGGCUAAUAACGAAGGAGUCAGUGAAGGAGACCAAUGCCACGAGGGUUAUCUCGCAGCCCCAGAUGCUGGAUAAGUUGAAGGAGGCAGAAUCGCUUUUGGAUGACAUUCAGGAAGGCCUUGAACGAUUAUUUGGCGAAGAAAAGACUAUUCUUUCUAAGGUUUUUUCUCUCAAUGCAGCAAUGAUCUCUCAGGAAUCCUUUCUGAGACAAAGGAUCCACUCCACGUCCAACCACACCUAAGGAAAUGCUUUGAAGGAAUUGCCAAGCUCACUUUUAAUCAUGAGAAAGAAAUUACCCACAUGGAGUCAGCAGAAAAUGAAAAAGUAGAGCUCGUGCUGCGAAUAAUUCCAGCAAGUGCCAAGGGGCUAGUUGAGAAAUGGCUUCAUGAGGUGAAUAUCUUUAGCUCUUACUUAGGGUUUAGUUACUGUAUAAUCAUUUUCUCUUUUAGGAGCAAUGAAUAUCAUAAGCAUAUUUCCUAACUAAAUGGCUCUCUGAAUAUUUGUCAAGAUGUUGACAGAUUUCAGCCUUAUUGUUGUUAUUUAUUGCAACUAAUUUAGCAUCUGCAAACAUGCAGAAAUUAAUUCUAAUAAAAAGCUCUCAGAGUCA